AUUGAACGCUGGCGGCAUGCCUUACACAUGCAAGUCGAACGGUAACAGGUCUUCGGAUGCUGACGAGUGGCGAACGGGUGAGUAAUACAUCGGAACGUGCCUAGUAGUGGGGGAUAACUACUCGAAAGAGUGGCUAAUACCGCAUGAGAUCUACGGAUGAAAGCAGGGGAUCGCAAGACCUUGUGCUACUAGAGCGGCCGAUGGCAGAUUAGGUAGUUGGUGGGAUAAAAGCUUACCAAGCCGACGAUCUGUAGCUGGGCUGAGAGGACGAUCAGGCACACUGGACAGAGACGCGGACCAGACUCCUACGGGAGGCAGCAGUGGGGAAUUUUGGACAAUGGGCGCAAGCCUGAUCCAGCAAUGCCGCGUGCAGGAUGAAGGCCUUCGGGUUGUAAACUGCUUUUGUACGGAACGAAAAGCCCCGGGUUAAUACCCUGGGGUCAUGACGGUACCGUAAGAAUAAGCACCGGCUAACUACGUGCCAGCAGCCGCCGUAA
rnacentral:rRNA from 1 species